AUGUUCUAAAAGGUUAGAACAAGUGUUUGGAUAAGUUAGAGGAUGAUUGGAAUGUUAAAAGUGAGAAUUUGCAUUGAUCUGGCGAAAAGCAGCAUUUUCUGCUUGCUGUACCGGUACAGCCCUUACCUUGUACCGGUACAAGCUGGCAGAUUCGGGGCAGCAAGGUUAGUUUGGUAAUUUCACAUCUUGUUCUCAGCUAUUUGAUCCCAGCACGACUCCUGGAGCUUGCUGGAGUGUGCUAGAGCUCAGAAGAGGGUUCUCCACCAUUUCUCUCUUUCUCUCUCUAGGGUUUUUCUCUCUCUACAUCGAAUUCGCCGAUUUCGCUCGUUUUCGUCGCAACGUUGGUUCUUCGUUGUUCGCAAGUGUUGCAGAGCCUACGUGGACGUGUGAGGGAGUGUUUUGGAGAGCUUUUCGCAGCUCUGGACCAGUGGGUUGCUGGUUGGAAGCUUGAAAGGUAAACGACUUGAUGUUUUUCCGUUAUCGGCACUCUAGUCGUCGAUUUGAGUAGCGAUUUCAGAUUUUUGCUCUUGGCUGUGCUAAACUGAGAAUUCAGCUAUUAUAAAUGAGAUAAUUAGCUGUGAAUGAACCUCUUUAGCUCAGGGAUCAGCUAUUUUAAAGCUUGAUUGUGUAACCUAGUUCAUUAUGAAGUGAAUUUGGAAUUAAACGCGAGUUUUUGCNUUGUGCCUAUGUUGAUAGUGCCAUGAUAGUGAAAGAUCCUAAUGCCAUAUGUAAAUUAGCAUUACUCCUGUAUGCUUACUAAACUAGUGGAUUCUAGUUGUUGUUAAUAUUUGUUAUACUGAAAUGUCGAUCAAAGGAUCGAGAGCGAGAACAUUGCAAAUGAAAACAUGAGAAUUGAGACAUGUGACAGUGAAAUAUGCUUGCUUGCCAUCGUGCUCAUUCGCACACGCUUGUGAGGGUCGCUCCCUACAAGCCGGCACUCCGGAGUUGGCCUUCGCGACAGUUGCUCGCCGGUGCGGGAUUGGGUGCCGAAGUGGAUUGCCGUGGGAAGUGUAUACUACCACGGGGCCAUUAGGCGCGGCGCAAGCUGGACUACCUUGGGUAGGUCCCUGUGAAGGAAAGGAAAGUACUAAAUGAAAAAGGACGGUAAUGAAUGUUUAUUACUUAAAGUGUACAGCAGUCACUUUUAUGUUCGUGCUUAUACUCAUGUAUAUGUUCAUGAUUACAGAAGUUGCUCUAUCUCUUUUAUGCAAAUGGUUCAUUACUGUAGAAAGCUAUUACAUGUCGAUUACAUGCUUACUACUUAUUAGCAUCAUGCUUAUAAAUCAUGCAAUUAUUGUUAUUGCUUCCAUUUAGUACAUCUUGAGCCUAGUGGUGUAAUUCGCCGAGGCUGGCGGCUUACCCACUGGGAACUAUUGUUAAUAGUUCUCACGCCCUUUUGGUGGUUGUUUUUACAGAGCCUGUUACAGGAGAGGCUAGGGAUCGUGGCAAGGGAGUCGCGCCUAGCUAGGGACUACUAGGAGCGUGCUAGUCGAUCACCUUGCUACUCGGACUACGGCCGAGGGUGAUGUCCCUUUGUAUAGAGAAACCACCAUUGUAUCUAUCCUAUUUUUGUAUACUCGUGAUGUAUAUGUACCACUUGGACCGUGAACUACAGUUGUGACACUUCUCUUCUGUCGAGAUUUUGGGUUUGUACACUUUUUGUUCUUUUGUUGAUAUAUAUCGACCUGUACAUUGCUCUGAUAUCAGGAUAGGACUUUCUUUGUUUUACUUCCUAUCGACUUGUUGCUUGUAGACGCCUUAUAUACUGCAGGUGUAUGGCGGGUCUGUGCACGUGCCGGAUAUGCUUCCGCUGGUACCCGGGCGUGACAUUAAGGGAUUUUGGGUUGUGAGUUAUUGGGGUUAACAAGCUUAACCGGUAAGAUUGGGUAAGAGCCAAAGUUUAUUUAUGAUUUGAGCAUGCAUGCAUUUCUAUUAUUGCAUUGAGUAUAUGUAUCCACUGACAUUCUUCUGCAGGCAUAGUAUUAGAUGCAUUAGUAUUGGUUACUUUUCUUUCCUUGAAAUACUUAUGCUUGGAUAGACCUAGUGGGUAAAUCGGCGAGGUCGGAUGCCGAACCCACUGGGAACUUCGUUGUAGUUCUCACACCACUAACCCUACAGGUCCUAGCACGAGCGGGGCGGCGGAGGACCGAGGCAAGGGUUUAGCGCCGUAGAUAGCGGCCACCGGGACCUUAUACAUUUUGUAGUCAUUCCCCUUUUUGGUAUACAUGUAUCAACUUCUUUUGUUGAUUUAGAGAUGUAAAGUUGUAGACAAACAUGUACUUGGUGUAUGACUAAAUGUAAAAAGAUAUGAUGGAUAAAUGGAAUGUAAUAGUUUUAAUUACUUGUAUUUGGUUUAAAUUUAAUCAAAUAUCAUGUAUGUUGUAUAUUUAGCUUAGAGCUUUUGCUUCCGUUGUUGCUUGCCCUCGUGCAAGUCUUGUAUUAUAUAUGCAAAUCUCUUAUUGAUUGCUUAUUUAUACAUGUUGUUGGAGUCUUGGGCGGACAGGGGAGGCCCUGUCCGUUCGACGUCUGUUGACGUGACCCGAACCCGACCAAAUUGGCGGGGAUUGGGGCGUGACAGAUAUAAUGGUAUCAGAGAGAAGUGGAAAGCCAAAGUCUAGGAAUGACCUAUAAACCAUAGGUUGGAGACCAUAGGGACUCAGGAAAACGUUCAACGUGGACUUGGUUUAUGCGAAAGCGAGUGAUUUGAUUAACGGUAACACUUUUCUAGAGGAAAGUAGAGAUGGACUAGGAGGCUUAAUUGUUGUCUACUUAAGGGACCUUGUGGGGCGGCCGACCACAUGACACCAAUAGUGGAAACGAUUAUGCUUGUUGCUUUCGCUUAAUUGGGUAGUUAUUUGGAACGUGUAAGAGUUACGUGUUCGAGUAUUGAUGUGUGUGUGCAUUGCGUUUCAGGACGCGAUGGCACCACCAAGGAGAGUUACGAGGUCCACACCGGCGGAGCUUCGGGAGGAGCCCGGGCAGUCGAGGUCGGACGAAGUGCGCAAGUUACGAGCCCAGGUAGCGGCUUUGGCCGGGGCUAUGCGACAACAAGGGGAGCAGAUUGGACGGCUCCACGAGAUGAUGGCGCAAUAGGCAGCGGCGGCAUCAGUGUCGAGGGAUCCACCCCCACCGGCUACUCCUGUAGCACCACCUCCUGCGGUGGCGGCAGCACCAGUGACGAUGGUCCCUCCGACGGCAUCGGGUUCAUCGGCUCCUAUCCCUGAUGUACUUAAGGCCGAGCAGGAGCGCACGGUGGCGGCGCUGACGGCAUUCAAGCGAUUCAACCCUCCGACCUUGAACGGCGAUGUGAAGGACCCGUGGGUGACGGAGAGUUGGCUAGCCACGAUGGAGGCCUUGUUCGAGGAUAUCUAUACCCUCGGGAAGGAUAAAGUUCACCUAGCGGCUCAUUGUUUUGAUGGGUAGGCCCGGUUGUGGUGGAAUCAAGUGAAGAAAAAUCGCUCGCUAGAGCACGCUUUUGUUACUUGGGAGGCGUUUCGGGAGAUGCUGCUUAUGGAGUAUUUCCCUGAGAGUGACAAGAGGAAAAUCAAGGAGGAUUUUCGGAAGCUAAGGCAAGGAAGCCGAUUAGUGCGGGAGUACCAGAGGGAAUUCACGCACAUGAUUAACCGCGUGCCGGGCUUGGUUCACGGUGAUAGGGACCGAGCGGAGGUAUUCGAGCGCGGCUUGCGACCCAAGAUUUUUAAGGUCAUACAUGCCUUCCGGUUGAAGACCUACGAGGAAGUGCUCGAUCGCGCGCUUUGGGUGGAGCGCGGGAAUGCCUUUGCGCGUGAUGAGCGCGAGACUUUUGAGAGGGACAUGGAAAGAGAUAGGUCCAAGAAGCGGCCGGCUGGUGGAUCUGCGGGGCAAUCAAGUUCUAAGCGACCCCCGCGACCUCAGCGAUCACAGUGGCGGGGAGGUAGGAGUCAGACACAGGGCCAGAUUACCUACCCGUGUGUGAUAUGCGGCGGAGAACAUAGAGCCACCACAUGCCCACAGCGGGAGGGGUGGUGUUACCAAUGUGGCCAACCGGGGCACAUGAGCAGAGAGUGCCUGGGCGGCGCAUCCCCAGCCCUGUCAUCAGCAUCUGUUUAGUACACUCAGCGGCAGCUGAUGGGACUACCACCCGCCGUAUCUGCUGGACGAUCGUCGGCGCCUCGUCAGCCGGAGGCCUCUCGAGCACCUAGUGGGCAGGUAUUUGCCACUCAGGUGGAGGAGCCACCAAUUAUUGUUCCCGACGACGUCGUGGCAGGUAUUAUUCUUAUCAGAGGCACUAGAGCUAGAGCCAUAUUCGAUACGGGUGCAUCUCAUUCAUUCAUAUUAGCAUCAUUUGCACAAGCUCAUAAUAUAGAGAUCACUUAUAGCGAGGAGUAUUGGUCGCUGAACACUCUCGAGCACUCUUUCGACGUCCACGAUGAGUGCUUGGACUGCCCAGUGCAGAUAGGUGAUUGGAUUAUACCGAUCGACCUUCUAGUGUUAAAAGAAAUGUGGGGCUUCGAGGUAAUCUUGGGGAUCAAUUGGCUCUCCAAAUACUACGCGGUUAUAGAUUGAGAAAGAAGGGUGAUCACGUUCCGUGAGCCUAACCAAGAGGAGUUUGUGUAUCGGGCGUGCAAAGGCAAACGCUUCGCAGCCACUAUAUCGACGGUGAGGGCAAAGAGAAUGAUUAAGGGUGGUUGCAAGGCUUACUUAGCGACUAUCGUAGACCCUCAAAAGGAAUACCCGGAGCUGGACAGUAUUCGAGUUGUGUGUGUGUAAGGAAGUGAAUCCUCGAAAUCCGAGGAUUUGACUUCGAUUGGAAUCGACGUUUUGUUGAGUGUGUGAGCUUCGGAAAGUCCGAAGGUGAUUAAAAUGCCUAAAACGCAUUAAGGAAAGGUCUGCGAGAGCACCAGUGCAAAACUUGCACUGGAGCAGAAAUGCUCUCGAGGACCGGUCCCUGGUAGGGAGGGACCAGUCCCAUCCUGCUGGGCUGCGGAGGUCUCUGAUGAGACCGGUCCCUGGCAGGCAGGGACCGGUUCCCGAACGUCAGCCCAGCGAGAAUAGCCGAAAUUUGGCUAAGUCCCGAGAAUCCAACUUUCAGGAACCGGUCUCUCGGAAAAGGACUCUCAAGCAAAGACUGGUUCCCGAACGCGAAAAUCCCUCUGCUUAGAAUUGCAGCUUUCGGGGACCGGUCUCCCCGAGCUGGGACCGGUCCCUCACUGCGAAAAUGCCCAGAGAGGGCUGAUUUGAAGGAUGAAAAGUUGAGGGGGCUAUCUGCAAAAUGGCCUUUAUUAGAGGUUGGGGGAUCUCUCUCUCCCUCUUAUUUGCUCUCUCUCCCUCUCACACUCUUUCCCUCUCUCUCUCUAGAAAAUAAGGAGAAGGUGAAGGAGAAGAAGGGAAGGAAGGAAAAGAGGAAGAAGUGGAAGGAGAAGUUCAAGAAGAAGAAGAAGGAGGUCUUUUUCCCUCUCUUCUUCAAGCUAGAGCAAGUUUGGAGCUUGGCUUAAAGGUAAGCUCCCAACCCAUCCAUGGUGGAUUUCUUAGGAUUGGGUUUUAUUGCCUAGAAAUGAUUUGAAUGGAACCUAGAGGAGAUAAAUCGGUGGUUCGGGCUCGCAAUUGAAGCUUGCGCCACGAAUUUCCUCACCGAUGCUAAUCUAGGGCACGGAUUUGGGAUUUUUGGAAAUCUAGGGUUUUGAUCUAUCUUAAUAGGUUGUAAACCAAAUUGCUAGGUCUCGGAACGCGUCGGCGAAGACGGUUUGCCGAUCCGACGAGCGAGUGCGGAGUUAUCACCGAAUCGGGUACUUGAGGGCUCGCUUCGCCCCGAGGAGUUGAAGCGACGUGCAAAGACCGCAGCGUCGAGUUUUCUACCAUCGCGGCAUCGCCAAGAGGUGGGUGGUGUCCAUCCUGAAGCAAUCGGGCUCUCUCUUAUGUCUUAGUAUUUUAAGACCUUGCAUCUCGAGUUCAUAUGCAUUGUAGGAUGAUUAUGCAUCGCCUUUCCCUAUGAUUUCCUAUCUGAUAUCGUAUUAUGCAUUGGUAACUGGAUAUAGGGGAUUGAUGAGGAUUGGGUCGAGUCUUAUAAUCCUAUAGUGUAGUGAUGAAAGUAUGAUGUAAUAGUUGAAAUAAAAGAACGAGUGGCACCUAGUUAUUAAUUGACAAAGAACGAGUGGCAUUGUGAGUCGUAGCGUAUAUGAAACCCAUUGACUAUGGUGACAGUAACCCUAGAGGAUAGGCACCCUUGAGGUGGGAGAAUUGGGAUCAUACUCAUUGUCCGCUCCCAACUUGUGGUGGUCACUCCACACAAGUAGUGCGCUCCGGAGUCAGUCACGAGGGAUGGCCUAUUUGGGGUCCCGUGGGAUAGGGAUGGCCUACUUGAGGUCCCGAGGGAUGGCCUAUUUGGGGUCCCGCAGACGGUCUCGGAUGUGUAGUGAUCGAGACGGUUAGGUGAGUAAUGGAUAGAUCCCUAAGUGAACCACGAGAUUGAUGAACCAGUAAAUAGCUUUACCUUUCGGACAUAUGAAGAGCUAGUUGAACUGUCUAUUUCUUUGUGCAUGCAUUCAUCAUAUACAUAAUUCGGGCACAGUAGUAUAGUUUUAUUAUCUGCUUCUACAGCUUUUCAUAUCUAUCUAUCUAUCUGUUUAUCUACUUGCGCCCACUUGGACCUAGUGGGGAGACCGGCGGAGUCGGCGGCCGAACCCACUGGGAACUAUGGAAGAUAGUUCUCACCUUACUUUUUACAGGUUCGAGUUCGGGUGUCCCGGGCGAGCGUGAGGAUCGCGGUAAGGGCCUAGCGCCCUAGUUGCAUUAGCCACCUACCCUUUUGCAUUAGCUCUACCUGUAUUUAUGUUCGAGAGUAGAUGAUGUAUAGGGUGAGGUUUGAGUGCUUGUAUUUAUAUUUUGGAGGAAUAUAAAGGAUGUAAUUAAAUGUAUUAAGUCAAAUGCAUGUAAUAGAUAGAGCUUUCUCUCUUUAUGUACUUGUAUAUUUCAUACUUGUAUCUUGCUCUUGGUUGUUGCACUGGUGGUGCUUCUUGAUCGUGUAUUUAUGAAUUGAUUCCUGGGUAAAUUCUUAUACAUGAUCUGUUGGUUAGCCUUGGGCGGACAGGGGAGGUCCUGUCCGUUCGGCGUCUGUUUGACGCGCCCGGGGCCGGAUCAAAUUAGAAGCGGUCUCGGGGAGUGACAGCGUGAGUAUCCGGAUGUAUUCCCAGCGGAGUUACCGGGACUGCCUCCGGAUCGGGAAGUCGAGUUUGUUAUCGACUUGAUUCCCGGGGCGGCGCCAAUUUUGAAGGCUCCGUAUAGAAUGUGUAAGGGAAGUGAAUUCUCGAAAUCCGAGGAUUUGACUUCGUAUGAAAUCGACUAAUCGUCGAGGGUGUAAGCUUCGGAAAGUCCGAAGAUGCUUAGAAUGCAUGAAGUGCAUUAGCGAAGAGCCCGCGAGAGCAGCAGUGCAAAACCUGCACUAGAGCAGAUUUGCUCUCGGGGACCGGUCCCUGGCAGGGAGGGACUGGUCCCAUCAGGCUGGGCUGGCGGGGACCCUUGUGGCAACCGGUCUCUGGUGGGUAAGGACCGGUUCCCGAACGUUAGCCCAGCGAAAGAAGCCGAAAUUUGGCUAAGUCCCGAAAGUCUAGCUCUCGGGAACCGGUCUCUCGGACAAGGACCGGUCUCCCGGGGACCGGUCUCUCAGGCAGGGACCGGUUCCCGAAUGCGAAAUCCCCUCUGCCCGAUUGUGCAGCUCUCGGGGACCGGUCUCCCCGACCUGGGACUGGUCCCUCACUGCGAAAUUAGCCCAGUGAAGGCUGUUUAGUGGAUGGAAAGUUGAGGAGCUUAUUUGCAAAAUGGCCUAUAUGAAGGCUUGGGGGACCCUUUCUCCCUCUCAUUGCUCUCUUCCUCUCACACCCUUUUGCUCUUUCUCUCUCUAGAAAGGAAAAGAAGGGAAAGAAGAAGGAAAGGAAGAGGAAGGAGAAGACUAAGAAGAAGAAGGAGAUCAUCUUCUUCUCUCCCUCUCUCAAGCUUGAAGCUUUGUUUAGAGGUAAGCACUAAAUCCUUUAAUGGUAUUUCUAGGGUUUGGGGUUUUUGUUUUUUAGAAAUGGUUCGAAUGGAACCUAUUGAAGCUAGGGAGAAGGUUUGAGCUCGAAAUUGAAGCUCGCACAAUGGAUUUCGCCACCGUUGCCAACCUAGGGCACGGAUUUGGGAUUUUUUGGAAAGUUAGGGUUUUGAUCUAUUUUAAUAGGUCGUAAACCUAAUUGAUAGGUCUCUAAACGUGUAGGCGAAAACGGUUCGUCGAUCCGACGAGCGAGUGCGAAGAUAUCGCUGAAACGGAUAUUUGAGAGUUCGCUUUGCCCCGAGGUGCUGAAGCGACGUACGAAGGCCGCGGCGUCGAGUUGUCUAGCCGCGCGGCACUACUAAAAGGUGGGGGAGUGCCAUCCCGAAGCAGUCGAACUGCUCUUUAUGUCUGAGUACUAUUGUCGAUCAAUUUCAUAUUGUAACAUAGCAUUAUAGGGUGUUAAAUGUAAUUGUACAUAUCCUUGCAUGCUAGUGGUAGUUUGGGUCAUGGAUACAAUGUAUGAGAACCUAGUAUGCAUGAGUUGAACACUAUGAGAUAGUUAACCCUAUAUGUGAAGAAUAUGUCUUUGUGAAUAAGAACCUAGUAUAUUGUAAACUAGUGUAUCAAGAACUUGUCAAGGGAACGAGUGGCAUCUAGUUAACCUUAAACAUUGAACGAGUGGCAUUAAGUAGUACCAGAGUGGCAUGAGAACACUAGUAUAGCUGAGAUACUAUGUGAUUGACUACUAGAACACUCGAUUCUAUAUUGCUAUCACCCUUGGUUGGUUAGGGUGUUCCCAGUUCAUGAGAUUGGAUCGAGCUCACUUAGCCUGUCUGCAUCUGUGGAGGUAGCUCCUCACAGGUAGUGCACUCCGGAGUUUGGCACGCGAGGGGGCCAGUGUAGUGCCCUUGGACUAGUGUAGUGUUCGCAGGCGGUCUCGGGGUAGGUGAAUAGCUAGCCUCCUCCCCUAUGAGACUUACACACGUGAGACUGUGAGCGAGCCUUGUGUUCGCCAAGAGAUUGGGUAAUCAGAUGAAUGAUUUCGUUGUUGAACAUAGUAGUAUGAUAGCUGACAUUCUUACCAUGAGUUCCAUGGAUGCAUUUGAGUGGAUUGAGGCAUUGAUAGAUCCUAGUUCAUAGCUGUUCAACACUGCUAUUGCUUUCAGUUCCAUAUACCUAUCUAUCGGCAUAUCUAUCUGUGCCUGCUUAGACCUAGUGGGGAGAUCGGCGGAGUCGGCGGCUGAACCCACUGGGAACUAUUCGUAGUUCUCACUCCACCAUGUUGCAGGUCCGAGUUCGAGCGCCCCCAGUGAGGAUCGCGGCAAGGGUGUAGCGCCCUAGUGGAACAUGUAUAUAGUUAGCUUACCUCCUUUUGCAUUAGCCCUACCUUGUACAAUGUUUGAGAGUAGAUGAUGUAUAGGGUGAGGAUUUGGGAGUGAUUGUAUACAUAUUUUGGACGAAUGUAAAAGAUAAAAUAAUUGUAUAAAGUUUAAUGAGUUAAUAGUUAAGUACAUCUCUCUUUUAUCACUUGUAUGCCUUACAUGUGUUGCUUGCUCUUAGUUGAUAAGCACUGUUUGUGCUUCGUCGUUAAUAUCUGAUUGUGUAUGUAUUCAAGUUGUUUCCUGGGAGCUUGUUGUACACAACCUAGUCGUUUGAGCCUUGGGUGGAUAGAAGAGGUGCUGUCCGUUCGGCGGUCCGUUCGCCGCGCCUGAACCGGACCAAAUUGGUAUCGGUCUCGGGGCGGGGGCGUGACACCUUGAGUACCAAAACAGCGAGCGUCGGCUGGAGCGCGAAAUCGACUCGAAUCGGCGGCUUUUACGUAGAGAGAGAGAGAAAAACCCUAGAGAGAGAGAGAGAGAAGGUGAAAGAAGCUUUCUCUGAGCCUAGCAACCUCCACUGAGCCUCCAGAGUCGUGCUGGAUUCAAAUAGAUGAGAACAAGAGGUGAAAUUACCAAAUUAGCCCUGCUGCCACUUUUCUGCCAUUGUGUACCGGUACACAUUGAUGGCUGUACCUGUACACAAUGCAGAAAACCCUGAUUUUCGCCAGAGCAAUGCACUUUCAUACUUUUACCCAUCCAAUCAUUCUCUAACUUGUAAAAAAAACUUGUCCAAGUCAUUUAGAACAUGUAGAAUAGUUCCACAUAUCAUUCCACACACUCGAACUCUGCAAAUUGCAAAAGUUCAGUGUAUUACAUCAGCGGACUCAGCGGCCGAACCAACUGGUAACUAUUCGAAGUUCUCACUCCACCAUAUUGCAGGUCCGAGCUCGAGCGUCCCCGGUGAGGAUCGCGGCAAGGGCAUAGCGCCCUAGUGAUAUUAGCAGAGGUUUACUUUCCUUUAUGCAUUAGUUACACCCUGUACUUAUUUUGAGCGUAGAUUGAUUGAUAGGGUGAGGUUUUGAGAGGAUUGUAUAUGUUGUACAGGUUUAGAAGAUUGCAAAAUGUAAUAAUUGUAUUAAGUUGAAUGGAUGUAAUAGAAUAGUUAAGUACCACUCUUUCACUCCACUGUAUGGUUGUUUUACUCGUGAUGCUUGCUCUCGUAUUGUAUAGCACUAACUGUGCUUUCGUUGUUGUUGUAUGAUUGUGUAUGUAUGCAAGAUGUUAUUCUGGGAACUUGUUGUACACAAUCUCGUCGUUGUGCCUUGGGCGGACAGGGGAGGUACUGUCCGUACGGCGGUCCGCCGCCGUGCCCGAACCGAACCAAAUUGGUAUCGGCCUCGGGGCGGGGGCGUGACAGAAAAAUUACUAGUUGCAAAGUUAUACUGUUGGGGCGCAACAGAGUAGUCUAUUGUUGUUCCGGUUUUGGUUAUUGUUAAGGUUGACAUCGAUUCGUUUCAAAUUUACACUCUCGAGGCAUAAUAGAACAAUAUAAUUAGGUUUUACUCUUUGUUCGAUAGAAUGAGAAAAAGUACUCAUUGCAAAGUUAUACUGUUAGGGCGCAACCGAAUAGUCUAAUGUUGUUCCGGUUUUGGUUCUUGUGAACGCUGACAUCAAUUGGUUCGAAAUUACAACUCUCGGGGCAUAAUUGAACAAUAUAAAUUAGGUUUUACUCUUUGUUCGAUAGAAUGAGAAAAAGAACUCGUCGCAAAGUUAUACUGCUAGGGGGCAACUGAGUAGUCUAAUAUUGUUCCGGUUUUGGUUCUUGUGAACGUUGACAUCGAUUCGUUCCAAAUUUACACUCUCGGGGCAUAAUAGAACAAUACAAUUAAGUUUUACUCUUUGUUCGAUCGAAUGAGAAAAAGUACUCGUUGCAAAUUUAUAAUAUUAGGGCGCAGCUGAGUAGUCUAAUGUUGUUCCGGUUUUGGUUCUUGUGAAGGUUGACAUCGAUUCGUUCCAAAUUUACACUCUUGGGGCAUAAUAGAACAAUAUAAUUAGCUUUUACACUUUGUUCGAUCGAAUGGGAAAAAAGUACUCGUUACAAAGUUAUACUGUUAGGGCGCAACUGAGUAGUCUAUUGUUGUUCCAGCUUUGGUUCUUAUGAAGGUUGACAUCGAUUCAUUCCAAAUUUACACUCUCGCGGCAUAAUAGAACAAUAUAAUUAGCUUUUACACUUUGUUCGAUUGAAUGAGAAAAAGUACUAGUUGCAAAGUUAUAUUGUUGGGGUACAACAGAGUAGUCUAUUGUUGUUCCGGUUUUGGUUCUAGUGAAAGUUGACAUCGAUUCGUUCCAAAUUUACACUCUCGGGGCAUAAUGAAUAAAAUAAUUAGCUUUUACACUUUGUUCGAUUGAAUGAGAAAAAGUACUAGUUGCAAAGUUAUACUGUUGGGGCGCAACAGAGUAGUCUACUGUUGUUCCGGUUUUGGUUCUUGUUAAGGUUGACAUCGAUUCAUUCCAAAUUUACACUCUCGGGGCAUAAUAGGACAAUAUAAUUAGGUUUUACUCUUUGUUCGAUAGAAUGAGAAAAAGUACUCAUUGCAAAGUUCUACUGUUAGGGCGCAACUGAAUAGCGUUAUGUUGUUACGGUUUUGGUUCUUGUGAACGUUGACAUCGAUUCGUUCGAAAUUACAACUCUCGCGGCAUAAUUGAACAAUAUAAUUAGGUUUUACACUUUGUUCAAUAGAAUGAGAAAAAGUACUCGUCGCAAAGUUAUACUGUUGGGGCGCAACUAAGUAGUCUAAUGUUGUUCCGGUUUUGGUUCUUGUGAACGUUGACAUCGAUUCGUUCCAAAUUUACACUCUCGGGGCAAAAUAGGACAAUAUAAUUAAGUUUUACGCUUUGUUCGAUCGAAUGAGAAAAUGUACGCGUUGCAAAUUUAUACUGUUAGGGCGCAGCUGGGUAGUCUAAUGUUGUUCCGGUUUCGGUUCAUGUGAAGGUUGACAUCGAUUCGUUCCAAAUGUACACUCUUGGGGCAUAAUAGAACAAUAUAAUUAGCUUUUACACUUUGUUCAAUCGAAUGGAAAAAAAUACUCGUUGCAAAGUUAUACUGUUAGGGCGCAGCUUAGUAGUCUAAUGUUGUUCCGGUUUUGGUUCUUGUGAAGGUUGACAUCGAUUCGUUCUAAAUUUACACUCGCGGGGCAUAAUAGAACAAUAUAAUUAGCUUUUACACUUUGUUCGGUCGAAUGGGAAAAAGUACUCGUUGCAAAGUUAUACUGUUAGGGCGGAACUGAGUAGACUAUUGUUGUUCCGGUUUUGGUUCUUGUGAAGGUUGACAUCGAUUCGUUCCAAAUUUACACUCUUGGGGCAUAAUAGAACAAUAUAAUUAGUUUUUACACUUUGUUCGAUUGAUUAAGAAAAAGUACUAGUUGCAAAGUUAUACUGUUGGGGCGCAACAGAGUAGUCUAUUGUUGUUCCGGUUUUGAUUCUUGCUAAGGUUGACAUCGAUUCGUUCCAAAUUUACACUCUCGGGGCAUAAUAGAACAAUAUAAUUUGGUUUUACUCUUUGUUCGAUAGAAUAAGAAAAAGUAGUCAUUGCAAUGUUAUACUGUUAGGGCGCCACUGAAUAGUCUAAUAUUGUUCCGGUUUUGGUUCUUGUGAACGUUGACAUCGAUUCGUUCGAAAUUACAACUCUCGGGGCAUAAUUGAACAAUAUAAUUAGGUUUUACUCUUUGUUCGAUAGAAUGAGAAAAAGUACUCGUCGCAAAGUUAUACUGCUAGGGCGCAACUGAGUAGUCUAAUGUUGUUCCGAUUUUGGUUCUUGUGAACGUUGACAUCGAUUCGUUCCAAAUUUACACUCUCGGGGCACAAUUGAACAAUAUAAUUAGGUUUUACUCUUUGUUCGAUAAAAAGAGAAAAAGUACUCGUUGCAAAGUUAUACUGUUAGGGCGCAACAGAGUAGUCUAAUGUUGUUCCGGUUUUCGUUCUUGUGAACGGUGACAUCGAUUCGUUCCAAAUUUACACUCUCGGGNCUGGGAACUUGUUGUACACAAUCUCGUCGUUGUGCCUUGGGCGGACAGGGGAGGUACUGUCCGUACGGCGGUCCGCCGCCGUGCCCGAACCGAACCAAAUUGGUAUCGGCCUCGGGGCGGGGGCGUGACAGAAAAAUUACUAGUUGCAAAGUUAUACUGUUGGGGCGCAACAGAGUAGUCUAUUGUUGUUCCGGUUUUGGUUAUUGUUAAGGUUGACAUCGAUUCGUUUCAAAUUUACACUCUCGAGGCAUAAUAGAACAAUAUAAUUAGGUUUUACUCUUUGUUCGAUAGAAUGAGAAAAAGUACUCAUUGCAAAGUUAUACUGUUAGGGCGCAACCGAAUAGUCUAAUGUUGUUCCGGUUUUGGUUCUUGUGAACGCUGACAUCAAUUGGUUCGAAAUUACAACUCUCGGGGCAUAAUUGAACAAUAUAAAUUAGGUUUUACUCUUUGUUCGAUAGAAUGAGAAAAAGAACUCGUCGCAAAGUUAUACUGCUAGGGGGCAACUGAGUAGUCUAAUAUUGUUCCGGUUUUGGUUCUUGUGAACGUUGACAUCGAUUCGUUCCAAAUUUACACUCUCGGGGCAUAAUAGAACAAUACAAUUAAGUUUUACUCUUUGUUCGAUCGAAUGAGAAAAAGUACUCGUUGCAAAUUUAUAAUAUUAGGGCGCAGCUGAGUAGUCUAAUGUUGUUCCGGUUUUGGUUCUUGUGAAGGUUGACAUCGAUUCGUUCCAAAUUUACACUCUUGGGGCAUAAUAGAACAAUAUAAUUAGCUUUUACACUUUGUUCGAUCGAAUGGGAAAAAAGUACUCGUUACAAAGUUAUACUGUUAGGGCGCAACUGAGUAGUCUAUUGUUAUUCCAGUUUUGGUUCUUGUGAAGGUUGACAUCGAUUCGUUCCAAAUUUACACUCUCGGGGCAUAAUAGAACAAUAAAAUUAGCUUUUACACUUUGUUCGAUUGAAUAAGAAAAAGUACUAGUUGCAAAGUUAUAUUGUUGGGGUGCAACAGAGUAGUCUAUUGUUUUUCCGAUUUUGGUUCUGGUGAAGGUUGAUAUCGAUUCGUUCCAAAUUUACACUCUCGGGGCAUAAUGAAUAAAAUAAAUAGCUUUUACACUUUGUUCGAUUGAAUGAGAAAAAGUACUAGUUGCAAAGUUAUACUGUUGGGGCGCAACAGAGUAGUUUACUGUUGUUCCGAUUUUGGUUCUUGUUAAGGUUGACAUCGAUUCAUUCCAAAUUUACACUCUCGGGGCAUAAUAGAACAAUACAAUUAAGUUUUACUCUUUGUUCGAUCGAAUGAGAAAAAGUACUCGUUGCAAAAUUAUGCUGUUAGGGCGCAACUGAGUAGUCUAGUGUUGUUCCGAUUUUGGUUCUUGUGAAGAUUGACAUCGAUUCGUUCCAAAUUUACACUCUCGGGGCAUAAUAGAACAAUAUAAUUAGCUUUUACACUUUGUUCGAUUGAAUGAGAAAAAGUACUAGUUGCAAAGUUAUACUGUUGGGGCGCAACAGAGUAGUCUAUUGUUGUUCCGGUUUUGGUUCUUGUUAAGGUUGACAUCGAUUCGUUCCAAAUUUACACUCUCGGGGCAUAAUAGAACAAUAUAAUUAGGUUUUACUCUUUGUUCGAUCGAAUGAGAAAAAGUACUCGUUGCAAAGUUAUACUGUUAGGGCGCAACUGAGUAGUCUAAUGUUGUUCCGGUUUUGGUUCUUGUGAACGUUGACAUCGAUUCGUUCGAAUUUACACUCUCGCGGCAUAAUAGAACAAUAUAAUUAGGUUUUACACUUUGUUCGAUAGAAUGAGAAAAAGUACUCGUUGCAAAGUUAUACUGUUAGGGCGCAACUGAGUAGUCUAAUGUUGUUCCGGUUUUGGUUCUUGUGAACGUUGACAUCGAUUCGUUCCAAAUUUACACUCUCGGGGCAUAAUAGAACAAUAUAAUUAGGUUUUACGCUUUGUUCGAUUGAAUGAGAAAAAGUACUCGUUGCAAAGUUAUACUGUUAGGGCGCAACUGAGUAGUCUAAUGUUGUUCCGGUUUUGGUUCUUGUGAACGUUGACAUCGAUUCGUUCCAAAUUUACACUCUCGGGGCAUAAUAGAACAAUAUAAUUAGNNN
rnacentral:lncRNA from 1 species